UGGCUGCUGGCAGUCUUCACACACAGGGC
rnacentral:piRNA from 1 species